AUUGAACGCUGGCGGCAGGCCUAACACAUGCAAGUCGAGCGAGCGGCGGACGGGUGAGUAAUGUCUGGGAAACUGCCUGAUGGAGGGGGAUAACUACUGGAAACGGUAGCUAAUACCGCAUACCAUCAGAUGUGCCCCGAUGGGAUGAGCUGGUAGGUGGGGUAACGGCUCACCUAGGCGACGAUCCCUCGCGGGUCUGAGAGGAUGACCAGCCACACUGGAACUGAGACACGGUCAGGAAUCCGACGGGAGGCAGCAGGGGGGAAUAUUGCACAAUGGGCGAAAGCCUGAUGAAGCCAUGCCGCGUGUUGGAAGAAGGCCUUCGGGUUGUAAAGCACUUUCAGCGGGGAGGCGGUACCCGCAGAAGAAGCACCGGCUAACUCCGUGCCAGCAGCCGCGGUAAUUC
rnacentral:rRNA from 1 species